AGAUGCAGAGAAAGGAAAAGAAGAAGAAGAGGUCGGAGUCAAUAAAUGGGAGCUGAAAACAAAGAUAAAUAGGGAGAGGAAGGGAAUGGUAUGGAGGUCUCGGAGCCCGGUGUGUAGGCUGCAUUCUGAUUGGACUAGAUGUUCCCCUAAGCGAGACCUGCAAAAGCUAUUGGAAAUCUGCUCGAAGGAGAGCAGAAGGAGUGGGGAUGUGGCUUUCCGUCAGAGCUGUGUGAGAUAGAUGUGUGUGAUAGUGUCCUGUACGCCUGCACACACUCCAGCGAGGUGAUGCUCUCCCCUUAUGACGCACGUCCACAAGCUGAUGCUCCCUUUGAGAUUACAAAGGCCUAGAAGUGGCACCUGGUCAGAGGAAACAAUCAAGUCUCUUCAGCACUUUGGGCUCUGCAAAUGGAAGAGGGGAAAAAAAAGAUGGAUACAACAACGGGGGCACGGUGGCUUUGUGGUUAGCAUGUUCGCUGCACACGUCCGGGGUUCGAUUCCAGCCGAGGCCCUGUGUGUGCAGAGUUUGCAUGUUCUCCUUGUGCUGCGGGGGUUUCCUCCGGGUGCUCCGGUUUCCUCCCCCAGUCCAAAGACAUGCAUGGUAGGCUGAUUGGCAUGUCUAAAGUGUCCGUAGUGUAUGAAUGGGUGUGUGAAUGUGUAUGUGAUUGUGCCCUGUGAUGGACUGGCACCCUGCCUUGUGCCCGAUGCUUCCUGGGAUAGGCACCAUGUUCCCCCACGACCCUGAAAAGGAGUAAGUGGUUGAAGAUGGAUGGAUGGAUGGAUGGAUGGAUACAACAAUAUCAGAACAAAGAGGUGUCUGUAAUGUCAGUACUUUUGAAAACUCCAUUCCUGGCUUCUUUCCAUACUGAAAAACUAUUGAAAAAUACACUUUUUCCCCCAAAACAAUAUAGACUUUGAUUUUGUGUAUUUGAAAAAUGGGUCUGCAUGUGAGAUAAACACUGAUGUCUAUUGUACUGUGGUUGGUCCCUGACUGCCGCAUGAUCCCCUAUCCAACAUAUUCAAAAUAGAAGAUGAGUUAAUUAAUGAGCUAAUUGGUGUUUGUUGUAAAUUCUAUCUGUUUUGGUCACUUUUUUAUUGAUAAAUGUGGCUAUGUAAAACAUAAAUGCAAAAGUAAAAUAUGAUCAAAAUGCAAGACAUAGUGCUCUGAAUCCACUGCUGUAUAAUCCCUCUCUGAAUUAUUACUACUUUUAGCAACCAUACAAAAAGUCUUGUUUUGUCACUUUGCCAUCUUGGCUAGUGUUUAUUAUAUCAAACAGGGUCAACAGCAUAAACUGUUCAUGGAAUUCCCGUUAGUUUGCUUUUUCACAGACACCAAUGAUUGGCUAGUAUUGCUGUGAUUAAUAGAGGGAGAGUAUACCACCCUCUGAAAUCAGGGCCAGUUUAGCUCUCUUGGAUAGCCAGCCACAUAUGAUUGUGGCAUCGUCAAGAUUUGAACUCAUGAUCACCGGAUGAUAAGGCGAAAACUUUUCUGUUCUUCCACUUGGGAGCCCAAAACUCCAUUUUUUAAAUAUAUAUCAUAUAAAACCACAUAGUUUUAAUGUGGUCUUGGAAAACCCUCUUGAACUCACAUUCAGGCUUUCUGGACUAGGUAGUAUGCUUGCGUGUGUUUUUGGGGUGUGGCUUUUGGGGAAUACUGAAGAUAGAGACUGUAAUGAAUUUCAACUUCAGCUAACAUCUGCCAAAAUCUCUGACUGCACUCUUACUUUUUCAUAAACAAUCUCUAGAAACAGUAAAUACAAGUAGCACGGUAGCAAGGUCAUCUCCAGACCAAAAUAAUUUAUUGACUGAUUUUUGAACAACAACCUCUCUACUAUGGACAAUGGCUUUAACCAAAGAAAGUUUAUUAUCCUUUGAGUUGAAUAAGUUAAAACAACUAGGUGAAGUCAUUUGUCAUAAGAC